CUGGUUAGCUGGGCCACACAUACUAAUACAUGCUAUGGAGUUAUAAGCAAAAUUACUUCUUCCAGUGGAGUCUCCUUUCUGUGUGAUGCAUUAUGCAAUUACAUAUCCUGCUUUCCUGUAACCCUGAGCCAUGCCAGUCUGUGCCAUUUCCAGAGGCCAUACUGAGGAAGUCAAGAUGCUGACAAAGGGAGGCAAUUAUAGGAACAUUCCUGCAAGAAGGUUGCUGGUGCUGAUGUUAUUGUCCUGAGUCUG